AAAAUAUACCAAUUAAUAUUUUCUUCAGAUUUCACUUUUUAUAAAUGAUAAAUUUGCACUUUUUAUUAAUUCUUUUUCUGAAUUGAAUAUCAAUGAAAUUAUAAAAUUAAUUGAAACUAAAUCAUACAAGUUAUUAAUUCAUCGAAACCUGCCAUGUUUAAUAUUACUAUUGACAUAUCGAUAUUGUAUGAUCACCAAAAAUAUCCCUUUGCAUAAAUGUAAAAUUCCCCAGGCGGAACUAGAAUGAAGUCAUGCACAGAUCGACAUAACGGCGUCGUUUCUAUGACACCUUGAUCUUUUCUGCGCUAGUGCCAAGUGGAACGUCUAUAUUUACCGAACACACGCGAGCACGCGCGCGCCCUAGCAAGUUUCUGCACGCUACUGGAUAAUGUUGGUGGAUUAAAUAAACCGUCGGAUUAAAUAGCAUCGCUGCAUUUCGCUCUUUCGUGGCACGAGGACUGUCCGGCAAAUAGGUCGACCACGGGCAUUCAAUCUUGGAAGAACGAACGGAUAGAAGUAGUACCGUAUCGUCGACCAUUUUUCUUUCGGUCAACGGACACCCAUUUUAUAUUUAGAACGGGUAUGGUCGCGACGGUAACUUUUCGUUAUGCCGGUUGUUUUGUCUGAAAUUCGCGUGACGCAAGCGCAUUAUUCGCGCGUGUUUCUACCAUUCCUGCAUCGACUGAGCGAUAACUCGAUAAUAUUUCGUUGCGACUUCGUUGCCACUGGGAUAUUACUGAAAGAUUGAUCGAUGAAAAGAGAAAUUUACGGAUUCGAGAAGAUAAAUUAAUUGUCGUGGAAGAGUACAACGGUUCGAUGAAAGAAGGCAGUGAGAGGGUGAGACGGGAGAGUGGAAAAGGAAGAAGGGAAGAAUAGAAAUUGAUCGAGGAUGCUUCGUACACUUCCAUCCUCCGCACUCCUCGCUUGAGGGCUUUUUUAUUACAAGCUGGAUUGUAAAAAAAACCACGGAGCCACGGUUGCGGCCAGUCGUAAUAAAUAUUUUACGUUCUCGCAAUCGUUUUACUGCAUUGGGAUAUCCUGAACGCGGUAAACCACCCGCGGGAUUUCGGCCUUAUUCCUUUUGCUCUGCAAUCGGGCAUCCCUUUCGAAGAAUGAGCGAUAUCGAGAAUCUUUUAUGUUAUCUCGUACUCUCGCUCAAAUAGGUAAUAAC